rnacentral:rRNA from 1 species
UACGUAGGGUGCAAGCGUUGUCCGGAAUCAUUGGGCGUAAAGCGCGCGUAGGUGGCUUCGUAAGUCCGUUGUGAAAGUCAAAGGCUCAACCUUUGAAUGCCGAUGGAUACUGCGAAGCUAGAGUACGGAAGAGGCGAGUGGAAUUCCUGGUGUAGCGGUGGAAUGCGCAGAUAUCAGGAGGAACACCAAUAGCGAAGGCAGCUCGCUGGGACGUUACUGACACUAAGGCGCGAAAGCGUGGGGAGCAAACAGG